GAAGACGGUGCUCCGUAACUCGAGGAUGGACGGCCACCACCGAAUCCACCGCCAAAUCCGCCGCCACCGCCUCCGGAUGAUGGCGCUCCGUAACUCGAAGAGGGGGCUCCGCCUGUUGUUUCAUCCAUUCAAUAUCUUGAGCAUCGCGAAUUCUCGGCGAUAAUUGGAAAUAUUGAGUGCGACACAAAUUGAUUCCCCAUCGAAUAUUAAUUUCAUGUUUUUUUGCUGUUGAAUUUCGUAAUAAAGUACAGGGUGAAAAAAACUUUGAGUAUGACACA